rnacentral:rRNA from 1 species
UACAGAGGUCUCAAGCGUUGUUCGGAUUCAUUGGGCGUAAAGGGUUCGUAGGUGGCCUGGUAAGUCGGAUGUGAAAUCCCGGGGCUCAACCCCGGAACUGCAUUCGAUACUGCUGCGCUAGAGUACUGGAGAGGAGAUUGGAAUUUACGGUGUAGCAGUGAAAUGCGUAGAUAUCGUAAGGAAGACCAGUGGCGAAGGCGGAUCUCUGGACCAUAACUGACACUCAGGGACGAAAGCUAGGGGAGCGAAUGGG